UUCCGAAACAGCCAUGUCCCGAGAGGACCU
rnacentral:sRNA from 1 species